GAGCUUGAUCCUGGCUCAGAAUCAACGCUGGCGGCGUGCCUCAGACAUSCAAGUCGAACGAUUAAACUUUCCUUCGGGAAAGAUAUAAAGUGGCGCACGGGUGAGUAACACGUAAGUAAUCUACCUUUGGAUGGGGAAUAACAGUCGGAAACGACUGCUAAUACCGCAUAAUGCAGCGGCACCUAAUGGUGACAGUUGUUAAAGUAUUUAUACGUCUGAAGAGGAGCUUGCGGCAGAUUAGCUAGUUGGUAAGGUAAUGGCUUACCAAGGCUACGAUCUGUAGCCGACCUGAGAGGGUGGUCGGUCACACUGACACUGAAUAACGGGUCAGACUCCUACGGGAGGCAGCAGUCGGGAAUUUUGGGCAAUGGGCGAAAGCCUGACCCAGCAACGCCGCGUGAAGGAUGAAGUCUUUCGGGAUGUAGACUUCGUAAGAAUAGGAAGAAUAAAUGACGGUACUAUUUGUAAGGUCCGGCUAACUACGUGCCAGCAGCCGCGGUAAUUCGUAGGGACCAAG
rnacentral:rRNA from 1 species